UACGAAGGGGACUAGCGUUGUUCGGAAUUACUGGGCGUAAAGCGCACGUAGGCGGAUUUGUAAGUCAAGGGUGAAAUCCCGGGGCUCAACCUCGGAACUGCCUUUGAUACUGCAAAUCUCGAGUCCGAUAGAGGUGGGUGGAAUUCCUAGUGUAGAGGUGAAAUUCGUAGAUAUUAGGAAGAACACCGGUGGCGAAGGCGGCCCACUGGAUCGGUACUGACGCUGAGGUGCGAAAGCGUGGGGAGCAAACAGG
rnacentral:rRNA from 1 species